rnacentral:lncRNA from 1 species
GAGGAAACUGAAUCUCAGAAAGUUACAUCAUUUGCUCAAAGCCACUUAGCUGGUAUGUGUAGGUCUAAAACUCAAUCCCCAGCUCAGCCUGCCACAAGGGCCACUCUCAACUGCCAUAUUACCUGUCAGAUCAUUGCUAUCAGUGCCCUGGUUGCAUCUUGCUUGCCCACACCUUUGCUCAUGCUUUUCCACAGGUCUGCACUGCUCCCCAUUGCCUUCCCUCCCGCCUCACCAGUUGAUCCCUAUACCUCCUUCACAAUGACCUCCAGGAGGCCUCUAACUUACAGUGACAGGAUCACAGAAUGUGAAUUUUGAACAGAUCUGAAAAGUUAUUAAGUUCAACUCCACAGAGGUUCCUAGGAGAAUGUUAACAGUCCAGACCUUUUUCACUACAUCAACCAUGGAUGACUGGCAUAUAAAAUCCUACUUAACCUUUACAUAACUGCAAUACCAGGAA